rnacentral:rRNA from 1 species
AUUGAACGCUGGCGGCAGGCCUAACACAUGCAAGUCGAACGAGUGGCGGACGGGUGAGUAAUGUCUGGGAAACUGCCUGAUGGAGGGGGAUAACUCCUGGAAACGGUAGCUAAUACCGCAUACCCUCAGAUGUGCCCAGCUGGGAUUAGCUAGUAGGUGAGGUAACGGCUCACCUAGGCGACGGUCCCUAGCUGGUCUGAGCGGAUGACCAGCCAAACUGGAACUGAGACACGGUCCAGACUCCUACGGGAGGAAGCAGGGGGGAAUAUUGCACAAUGGUCGCAAGCCUGAUGCAGCAAUGCCGCGUGUAUGAAGAAGGCCUUCGGGUUGUAAAGUACUUUCAGCGGGGAGGCGUUACCCGCAGAAGAAGCACCGGCUAACUCCGUGCCAGCAGCCGCGGUAAUUC